rnacentral:rRNA from 1 species
UACGUAGGGUCCGAGCGUUGUCCGGAAUUAUUGGGCGUAAAGAGCUCGUAGGCGGUUUGUCGCGUCUGCUGUGAAAUCCCGAGGCUCAACCUCGGGCCUGCAGUGGGUACGGGCAGACUGGAGUGCGGUAGGGGAGAAUGGAAUUCCUGGUGUAGUGGUGAAAUGCGUAGAUAUCGGGAGGAACACCAGUGGCGAAGGCGACUACCUGGCCCAUUCUUGACGCUGAGGCGCGAAAGCUAGGGGAGCGAACGGG